rnacentral:rRNA from 1 species
AUUGAACGCUGGCGGCAUGCUUUACACAUGCAAGUCGAACGGCAGCGCGGGCUUCGGCCUGGCGGCGAGUGGCGAACGGGUGAGUAAUGCGUCGGAACGUGCCCAGUAGUGGGGGAUAGCCCGGCGAAAGCCGGAUUAAUACCGCAUACGACCUGAGGGUGAAAGCGGGGGACCGAAAGGCCUCGCGCUAUUGGAGCGGCCGAUGUCGGAGUAGCUAGUUGGUGGGGUAAAGGCUUACCAAGGCGACGAUCCGUAGCUGGUCUGAGAGGACGACCAGCCACACUGGGACUGAGACACGGCCCAGACUCCUACGGGAGGCAGCAGUGGGGAAUUUUGGACAAUGGGGGCAACCCUGAUCCAGCCAUGCCGCGUGCGGGAAGAAGGCCUUCGGGUUGUAAACCGCUUUUGUUCGGGAAGAAAUCCUCUGGGCUAAUACCCCGGGGGGAUGACGGUACCGGAAGAAUAAGCACCGGCUAACUACGUG